GGCCUGGCAAGGCUGUGGGAUCCGGGAAGACACAAAAGAUGGGCAACAUCAGAGCCUGCCACUGUGCCGUCGCCGGGGUGAGAAGAGGCCAACAUACCUCAUUACAGAUGGUUAGGAGUCACCAUGCAGUUGCUGGGAAUUGCAUUCUGGACCUUUGGAAGAGCAGCCAGUGCUCUUAACUGGGAGCAUGGUACCAUGCAGACAGACACGGUGCUGGAGCAGAACUGGGGGGUUCACCCUUUGGAUCCAAAUGCAACAGGAAGAGAGAGCCAGAGAGACUGGAUUGGACUUUUGAAACCCCAAAGCCUACCGACAGUGACAUGCUUGCUUUCUCCAACAAGGCCACACCUCCUAAUCCCUUUUAAGUAGUGCCACUCCCUGAUAACCACUCCUCCAAGUAUAUAAGCCUUUGGAAAGAAUUCUUUUUUUUUAAUUUUUAUUUUUUAUAUUAAUUACAUUUUACUCACUUUGCGUCCCAGCUGUAGCCCUUCCCUCAUUCCCUCCCAAUCCCAUCCUCCCUCCCUCAUCUCCUUCCAUGCUCCUCUCCAAGUCCACUGAUAGGGGAUGUCCUUCUCCCCUUCCAUCUGAACCUAGCCUAUCAGAUCUCAUAAGGGCUGUUUGGAUUGUCUUCCUCUGUGGCUGGGUAAGGCUGCUCCUCGUCAGUUAUUCCUUAAGAAUGCUCAUCCAGCUGCUCAGACAUGCCAUCCAUCCCACCAUAUUGUGAGGAAGUACAAAUGAAAACACCUUAAAGAACAACCAUAUUCAAGGCAUUUUGCUUACUGGGUUUGCAAAGAGGAAUUAGGCGGUGUCUUUCAGCUGGACACAGUGUUGCCUGUGUACAUUUGGAAUCACAUUAACCAGAAGAGAUCAGAGGAAUUAAGUGAAUAAAUCACACGUUCUCAUUUGGGUGAUGUGCUUUCUGUUUUCAUUUUUUUAAAUGCUAUUGAUU